GGAAAGGGAUUCGUCUACAACUCGAUAACUAGAACUCGAAUAUAAAUAAAGGUGUGGUUUUACCUGCGGUGCUACACCGUGCUUCAAACCUACAUCUGAGUGAGUGUAGCAUUUAGGAAUAAAAAGCUCCAAUAAUAAUGGCUCGUAUAAAUGAACAUGGUGGUGCGUGCAGUGUCUGCUCUGUCAUUCUUAAAAUGAAAGCUGUGCUGUGAUCAUAGGGGGUUCCUUGGAAAUUCUGUUACUCUACAAAAAGUCUGAGAUCCCUUGGACUAUAGAGUGUGUAUAGAUUAUUUACUAAACAUCUGCAGCCUUACAUUGUUGACGUGUUGUUUAAAUUCAGUUGAUAGGUUGCAUCAGGAUAGUCCCAGUUUGUGUCUGCAGUGACCUAUCCAAAUAAAGUGUUACUGAACUUCUUAACACCAGAAACAACAAAGUCUGAUGAAGCCUGAGUGAUUUCUCUCUCUGAUAUAUAUGCAAACAGACAGACAGACAGAGACAGACAGAGACAGACAGACAGGCAGGCAGACAGACACAGAGAUAGACAGACAGGCAGGCAGGCAAGCAGGUAGAUAGAAAGACAGUCUGGUAGACAGACGAACAUGCAGGUAGGCAGACGGAGACCGACAGACACUAAGACAUACAGACAUACUGACAGGAAGACAGACAGAGAGAUAAACAGACAGCCAGACAGGAAGACAGACAGGCGGACAGACAGACCAACAAGAAGACAGACAGAUAGGAAGUCAGACAGACAGACAGACAGACAGGAAGAAAGACAGACAGGCAAACAGACAGGGAGAUAGAUAGACAGACAGACAGACAGAUAGAUAGAUAUACAGAUAGAUAGAUAGACAGAUAGAUAGAUAUACAGAUAGACAGACAGACAGAUAGAUAGAUAGAUAGAUAGAUAGAUAGAUAGAUAGAUAGAUAGAUAGAUAGACAGAUAGAUAGACAGAUACUGUAGAUAGAUAGAUAGAUAGUUAGAUAGAUAGAUAGAUAGAUAGUAGAUAGAUAGAUAGAUAGAUAGAUAGAUAGAUAGAUAGAUAGAUAGAUAGACAGAUACUAUAGAUAGAUAGAUAGAUAGAUAGAUAGAUAGACAGAUAGAUAGACAGAUACUGUAGAUAGAUAGAUAGAUAGUUAGAUAGAUAGAUAGAUAGAUAGUUAGAUAGAUAGAUAGAUAGAUAGAUAGAUAGAUAGAUAGACAGAUACUGUAGAUAGAUAGAUAGAUAGAUAGAUAGAUAGAUAGAUAGAUAGAUAGAUAGACAGACAGAAAGAUAGACAGACAGACAGACAGAUAGCUAGCUAGACAGACAGACAGACAGACAG
ensembl:lncRNA